AGAGUUUGAUCAUGGCUCAGGAUGAACGCUAGCGGCAGGCUUAAUACAUGCAAGUCGAAUGUGGCAACACAUGGCGCACGGGUGCGUAACGCGUAUGCAACCUACCCACUACUGGGGAAUAAUCCCGCGAAAGCGGGAAUAAUACCCCAUAAUAUCUUAAUAACACAUGUUAAUGAGAUUAAAGAUUUAUCGGUAAUGGAUGGGCAUGCGUCCGAUUAGCUAGUUGGCAGUGUAAUGGACUACCAAGGCGAUGAUCGGUAGGGGUUCUGAGAGGAAGAUCCCCCACACUGGUACUGAGAUACGGACCAGACUCCUACGGGAGGCAGCAGUAGGGAAUAUUGGACAAUGGGCGGAAGCCUGAUCCAGCCAUGCCGCGUGCAGGAAGAAGGCGUUAUGCGUUGUAAACUGCUUUUGACCGAGAACAAAAAGGCUAUGCGUAGCAAAUUGAGUGUAUCGGUAGAAUAAGCCACGGCUAACUACGUGCCAGCAGCCGCGGUAAUACGUAGGUGGCAAGCGUUAUCCGGAUUUAUUGGGUUUAAAGGGUGCGUAGGCGGCUUAUUAAGUCAGGGGUGAAAGACUAUUGCUUAACAAUGGCAGUGCCUUUGAUACUGAUAGGCUUGAGUACAGUUGAGGCAGAUGGAACGGGUGGUGUAGCGGUGAAAUGCAUAGAUACCAUCCAGAACACCGAUUGCGAAGGCAGUCUGCUAAACUGUAACUGACGCUGAGGCACGAAAGCGUGGGGAUCGAACAGGAUUAGAUACCCUCGUAGUCC
rnacentral:rRNA from 1 species